rnacentral:snRNA from 1 species
GGAUGUGUGAGCAAUCUGGCUUUAGCAUCUGCCACCCCACUGAUCGCUGGGACUGAUCCAGAUGAGCUCAUCUGGAUGGCUAGGUAGGUGUCCCCUUGCUCCCUGACCACUCCACGCGUGUCCUGCUUGAAGCUGUGCACAUGGUUAAUAAGAAGGACCUUCCCCAAACAGAGGAGAAGCUCCUGGGUCAGGGGUAUACGAGAGCUGUGCUCUCCUGAAGAGCCGCCACACAAGCUCUCAGAUGUAUUAAAUGUGAUUUAUAACUUCAUCUUUUUUAAAAGAUUUAUUUUUGUAUCAUGUACAUAGUGUUCGGCCUGCAUAUAUGC